rnacentral:piRNA from 1 species
UUGGUAUCAAGUGAUCUUAAAGAAAGGCA